UUUAGGACAGAGAUGGAAUUGGGUAAAGGAAAAAGUUGUGCCUGUUUUGGCUCCUCUACACCCUUGUGGCUGGAAUUUGGGAGCUGUGCAUCCCUGCUCCUGUGGCAGGAACAGCUCCUUGUCCUUUCAGCUGCAGCUCCUGAAACAGACAGGUGUCCACAUCCCCAAAAAUGUGAUGAGAAAUGACAUCUUUGUUGACAGUCUCAUCAGAUUAAUUGGACUUCAGGAGUGAGCUAAUUCUCACAUCAAGAGGCUUGAGAACAUACUGUGGGAGCUGUGUGAAGAACCUUGAACUCCUGCUUCUUGUGCUGUCACCAGAUCAUAGCAGCUUUGAUGGACUGGAUUAGGAAAUCAAUAUCCACACAUUGACAUGCUAAUCCCUCCAGGGACACUCAUUAAAUAAAUUCUCAUCAAGGGCCACAACAGUGUGUGUGCAAUCA